rnacentral:rRNA from 1 species
GGGACAGUGGACGCGCAUCGGCGCACCAGAAACCUUUGUGAACUUAUACCUUACUGUUGCCUCGGCGCCAGGCCGGCCUCUACGAGGCCCCUCCGGAAGGAGGAGCAGCCCGCCGGCGGCCAACUAAACUCUUGUUUCUUAGUGAAUCUCUGAGUAAAAAACAUAAAUGAAUCAAAACUUUCAACAACGGAUCUCUUGGUUCUGGCAUCGAUGAAGAACGCAGCGAAAUGCGAUAAGUAAUGUGAAUUGCAGAAUUCAGUGAAUCAUCGAAUCUUUGAACGCACAUUGCGCCCUCUGGUAUUCCGGAGGGCAUGCCUGUUCGAGCGUCAUUUCAACCCUCAAGCCUGGCUUGGUGUUGGGGCACUGCCUGUAAAAGGGCAGGCCCUGAAAUCUAGUGGCGAGCUCGCCAGGACCCCGAGCGUAGUAGUUAUAUCUCGCUUUGGAAGGCCCUGGCGGUGCCCUGCCGUUAAACCCCCAACUUCUGAAAUUUUGACCUCGGAUCAGGUAGGAAUACCCGCUGAACUUAAGCA